rnacentral:misc_RNA from 1 species
GAUGAAGAACGCAGCGAAAUGCGAUAAGUAAUGUGAAUUGCAGAAUUCAGUGAAUCAUCGAAUCUUUGAACGCACAUUGCGCCCGCCAGUAUUCUGGCGGGCAUGCCUGUUCGAGCGUCAUUUCAACCAUCAAGCCCCAGGCUUGUGUUGGGGACCUGCGGCUGCCGCAGGCCCUGAAAACCAGUGGCGGGCUCGCUGUCACACCGGGCGUAGUAGAUUUUAUCUCGCUCAGGGCGUGCUGCGGGUCCCGGCCGUUAAAAGCCUUUUUUUACCCAAGGUUGACCUCGGAUCAGGUAGGAAGACCCGCUGAACUUAGGCAUAUCAAUAAGCGGAGGA